GUCCAUGCAAGUCGAACGGCAGCACGGGCUUCGGCCUGGUGGCGAGUGGCGAACGGGUGAGUAAUGCAUCGGAACGUACCGUGUAGUGGGGGAUAACGUAGCGAAAGUUACGCUAAUACCGCAUACGCCCCGAGGGGGAAAGUGGGGGACCGCAAGGCCUCACGCUAUAUGAGCGGCCGAUGUCGGAUUAGCUAGUUGGUAGGGUAAAGGCCUACCAAGGCGACGAUCCGUAGCGGGUCUGAGAGGAUGAUCCGCCACACUGGGACUGAGACACGGCCCAGACUCCUACGGGAGGCAGCAGUGGGGAAUUUUGGACAAUGGGCGCAAGCCUGAUCCAGCCACGCCGCGUGAGUGAAGAAGGCCUUCGGGUUGUAAAGCUCUUUCAGACGGAAAGAACUCUCCCGGGAUAAUACCUCGGGAGGAUGACGGUACCGUAAGAAGAAGCACCGGCUAACUACGUGCCAGCAGCCGCGGUAAUACGUAGGGUGCGAGCGUUAAUCGGAAUUACUGGGCGUAAAGCGUGCGCAGGCGGUGAUGUAAGACAGAUGUGAAAUCCCCGGGCUCAACCUGGGAACUGCGUUUGUGACUGCAUCACUCGAGUACGGCAGAGGGAGGUGGAAUUCCGCGUGUAGCAGUGAAAUGCGUAGAGAUGCGGAGGAACACCGAUGGCGAAGGCAGCCUCCUGGGCCAGUACUGACGCUCAUGCACGAAAGCGUGGGGAGCAAACAGGAUUAGAUACCCUGUAGUCCACGCCCUAAACGAUGUCAACUAGUUGUUCGGUGAGAGACUCAUUGAGUACGCAGCUACGCGUGAGUGACCGCCUGGAGUACGCGCAGUAAACUCAAGAUGACGGGACCGCACAGCGUGAUGAUGUGAUAUCGAUGCACGCGA
rnacentral:rRNA from 1 species